ACUUUAUAGGACUCGAUUUUUGUUUCAUUGUUUGGAAACUAACUUUGUAAACUAAACUUCAAUAGUUGUUAUGAUAUUUCCCACUUAGGAUUGAAUUUGAGGUCGGAGGCCAUUUGUAAUUUGUGUGUGCUGCCAGUUGGGAUGGUUAAAUUGUUGUAGUUUGCAGGUUAAAUUAGUUGUGUAAAUGUUAGUUUUUCAG
rnacentral:lncRNA from 1 species